GACGAACGCUGGCGGCGUGCUUAACACAUGCAAGUCGAACGGAAAGGCCCCUUUGGGGGUCCUCGAGUGGCGAACGGGUGAGUAACACGUGAGUAACCUGCCCUUGACUUCGGGAUAACUUCAGGAAACUGGGGCUAAUACCGGAUAGGAAUCCUUGCUGCAUGGUGGGGGUUGGAAAGCUUCGGGGGUUUUGGGUGGACUCGCGGCGCAUAAGCUUGUUGGUGGGGUAGUGGCUUACCAAGGCUUUGACGCGGAGCCGCCCUGGGAGGGCGACCGGCCGCACUGGGACCUAGAGACGGCCCAGACUCCGACGGGAGGCAGAAGGGGGGAAUAUUGCACCAGCGGCGGAAGCUGGAUGCAGCAACGCCUCGGGCUGGAUGACGGCCUUCGGGUUGAAGACCGGUUUCAGCAGAGGCGAGGCUUGUAGUGACGGUACCUGCAGAAGAAGCACCGGCUAACUACGUG
rnacentral:rRNA from 1 species